AACGAACGCUGGCGGCAUGCCUAACACAUGCGAGUCGAACGAGACCUUCGGGCCUAGUGGCGCACGGGUGCGUAACGCGUGGGAACCUGCCCUUAGGUUCGGAAUAACUCCCCGAAAGGGGUGCUAAUACCGGAUAAUGUCUUCGGACCAAAGAUUUAUCGCCUUUGGAUGGGCCCGCGUUGGAUUAGCUAGUUGGUAGGGUAAAAGCCUACCAAGGCGACGAUCCAUAGCUGGUCUGAGAGGAUGAUCAGCCACACUGGGACUGAGACACGGCCCAGACUCCUACGGGAGGGAGCAGUAGAGAAUAUUAGACGAUGGGCGAAAGCCUGAUCCAGCAAUGCCGCGUGAGUGAUGAAGGCCUUAGGGUUGUAAAUCUCUUUUACCCGAGAUGAUAAUGACAGUACCGGGAGAAUAAGCUCCGGCUAACUACGUG
rnacentral:rRNA from 1 species